GGGGCAGAGUUUGUUAAGUGUGUCCAGGAUGGAUUCCUGUCACAGUAUGUUGACAGGCCGACUAGGGGGAAUGCCAUUCUAGAUUGAGUAUUAGGUAAUGAACUGGGUCUGGUCACAGAUCUGGCAGUGGGUGAGCAUCUGGGGGAUAGUGGUCAGUGCUCCCUGACCUUUAGCAUUAUCAUGGAAAAGGAUCAAAUCAGAGAGGAUAGGAAAAUUUUUAAUUGGGGAAGGGCAAAUUAUGAGGCUAUAAGGCAAGAACUUGCGGGUGUGAAGUGGGAUGAUGUUUUUUCAGGGAAGUGUACUAUGGACAUGUGGUCGAUGUUUUAUGGAUCUCUUACAGGAUGUUAGGGAUAAAUUUGUCCUGCUGAGGAAGAUAAAGGGUGAAGGAACCAUGGGUGACAAGUGAAGUGGAAAAUCUAGUCAGGUGGAAGACAGCAUACAUGAGGUUUAGGAAGCAAGGAUCAGAUGGGUCUAUUGAGGAAUAUAGGGUAGCAAGAAAGCUUAAGAAGGGGCUGAGAAGAGCAAGAAGGGGGCAUGAGAAGGCCUUGGCGAGUAGGGUAAAGGAAAACUCCAAGGCAUUCUUCAAUUAUGUGAAGAACAAAAAGAUGACAGGAGUGAAGGAUUAGAGAUAAAAGUGUGAAGAUGUGCCUGGAGGCUGUGGAAGUGAGCGAGGUCCUCAAUGAAUACUUCUCUUCAGUAUUCACCACUGAGAGGGAACUUGAUGAUGGUGAGGACUAUAUGAGUGAGGUUGAUGUUCUGGAGCAUGUUGAUAUUAAGGGAGAGGAGGUGUUGGAGUUAUUAAAAUACAUUAGGACCGAUAAAUCCCCGGGGCCUUACAGAAUAUUCCCCAGGCUGCUCCAUGAGGCAUGGGAAGAGAUUGCUGAACCCCUGGCUAGGAUCUUUAUGUCCUUGUUGUCCACGGGAAUGGUACCAGAGGAUUGGAGGGAGGCAAAUAUUGUCCCCUUGUUCAAAAAAGGUAGUAGGGAUAGUCCAGGUAAUUAUAGACCAGUGAGCCUUACGUCUGUGGUGGAAAAGCUGUUGGAAAAGAUUCUUAGAGAUAGGAUCUAUGGGCAUUUAGAGAAUCAUGGUCUGAUCAGGGACAGUCAGCAUGGCUUUGUGAAGGGCAGAUCGUGUCUAACGAGCCUGAUAGAGUUCUUUGAGGAGGUGACCAGGCAUAUAGAUGAGGGUAGUGCAGUGGAUGUGAUCUACAUGGAUUUUAGUAAGGCAUUUGACAAGGUUCCACAUGGUAGGCUUAUUCAGAAAGUCAGAAGGCAUAGGAUGCAGGGAAGUUUGGCCAGGUGGAUUCAGAAUUGGCUUGCCUGCAGAAGGCAGAGGGUCGUGAUGGAGGGAGUACAUUCAGAUUGGAGGGUUGUGGCUAGUGGUGUCCCACAAGGAUCUGUUCUGGGACCUCUACUUUUCAUGAUUUUUAUUAACGACCUGGAUGUGGGGGUAGAAGGGUGGGUUGGCAAGUUUGCAGAUGGCACAAAGGUUGGUGGUGGUGUAGAUAAUGUAGAGGUUUGUCGAAGAUUGCAGAGAGACAUUGAUAGGAUGCAGAAGUGGGCUGAGAAGUGGCAGAUGGGGUUCAACCCAGAGAAGUGUGAGGUGGUACACUUUGGAAGGACAAACUCCAAGGCAGAGUACAAAGUAAAUGGCAGGAUUCUUGGUAGUGUGGAGGAGCAGAGAGAUCUGGGGGUACAUGUCCACAGAUCCCUGAAAGUUGCCUCACAGGUAGAUAGGGUAGUUAAGAAAGCUUAUGGGGUGUUAGCUUUCAUAAGUCGAGGGAUAGAGUUUAAGAGACGUGAUGUAAUGAUGCAGCUCUAUAAAGCUCUAGUUAGGCCACACUUGGAGUACUGUGCCCAGUUUUGGUCGCCUCAGUAUAGGAAGGAUGUGGAAGCAUUGGAAAGGGUACAGAGGAGAUUUACUGGGAUAGAAAGAUCCCACUACUAAGCACAUUUUUCCCUCCCCCCCCCCCUUCUGCUUUUCACAGGGAUCGCUCCCUACGCGACUCCCUUGUCCACUUAUCCCCCCCAUCCCUUCCUACCGAUCUCCUUCCUGGCACUUAUUCUUGUAAACGGAACAAGUGCUGCACCUGCCCUUACACUUCCUCCCUCACCACCAUUCAGGGCCCCAGACAGUCCUUCCAGGUGAGGCGACACUUCACCUGUGAGUCGGCUAGUGUGGUAUACUGCGUCCGGUGCUCCCGGUGUGUUAUAUAUUGGUGAGACGCAACGCAGACUGGGAGACCAUUUCGCUGAACACCUACACUCGGUCCGCCAGAGAAAGCAGGAUCUCCCAGUGGCCACACAUUUUAAUUCCAUGUUCCAUUCCCAUUCUGAUAUGUCUAUCCAUGGUCUCCUCUAUUGUCAAAAUUAAUCCAAACUCAGGUUGGAGGAACAACACCUUAUAUACCGGCUGGGUAGCCUCCAACCUGAUGGCAUGAACAUUGCCUUCUCUAACUUAUGUUAAUGCCCUUCCUCCCCUUCUUACCCCAUCCCUGACAUAUUUAGUUGUUUGCCUGUUCUCCAUCUCCCUCUGGUGUUCUGCCCCCGACCCCUUUCUUUCUCCCAAGUCCUCCCGUCCCAUGAUCCUUUUCAUUCUCCAGCUCUGUAUCACUUUUGCCAAUCACCUUUCCAGUUCUUAGUUUCAGCCCACCCCUCCCCCCACUACUUUCAAAUCUCUUACUAUCUUUCCUUUCAGUUAGUCCUGACGAAGGGUCUUGGCCGGAAACGUCAACAGUGCUUCUCCCUAUAGAUGCUGCCUGGCCUGCUGUGUUUCACCAGCAUUUUGUAUGUGUCGUUGUUUGAAUUUCCAGCAUCUGCAGAUUUCCUCGUGUUUGCCUUGGAGCGAUGGUGGUCAGCUUGACGCUUGAUCUUAGCAGAGACACAGAGAAGGGCAGAGCGAGUGUGCCUCUACGUCUGCUGACAAUGGUGGAUGAAUGCCUCAGCAGAUGGAACACCAACCUCUUCCUCCUGGGCAGGAAACAGUGGUGGUUGGUAACCAAGGCAGCACUCUUAAGUGGGACAGACCGAUGGAUGAGAAUUCAUGGCGUACUCGGCCCAGGGUAGCUGUUGACUGGCCUGCUCAGUCUGGCCAUUGGUCUGUGGGUGGAAUUCUGAAGACAGACUCACAGAGGCACCCAGAAUAUUACAGAGUGCCCUCCAGUAGUUUGAUGUGAAUUGUGAGCCCCUGUCUGACACAACAUCUACAGGUAAACCAUGUAAUUUCAAGUCAAGUCACUUUCAUUUAGGUUUAAUAUUGUCAUUUAAAGUAAAAUUGGAUAGGUAUAUGGACAGGAAAGAAAUGGAGGGUUAUGGGCUGAGUGCAGGUCAGUGGGACUAGGUGAGUAAGCGUUCGGCAUGGACUAGAAGGGCCAAGAUGGCCUGUUUCCAUGCUGUAAUUGUUAUAUGGUUAUAUGGCCAUUGUCAUUUUGACCAUAACUGCUGGUACAGUACAUAGUAAAAAUGAGACUUUUUUCAGGACCAUGGUGUUACAUGAUACAGUACAAAAACUAGACUGAACUACAUAAAAAAACAACACAGAGAAAGAAAACAACUACACUAGACCACAGACCUACCCAGGACUGCAUAAAGUACACAAAACAAUGCAGGCAUUACAAUAAAUAAUAAACAGCACAAUAGCGCUGUAAAGUCUCAAUCCAGGCUCUGGGUAUUGAGGAAUCUGAUAACUUGGGGGAAGAAACUGUUACAUAGUCUGGUCAUGAGAGUCUGAAUGCUUCAGUGCCUUUUCCCAGAUGGCAGGAGGGAGAAGAGUUUGUAUGAGUGGUGCAUGGGGUCCUCCAUAAUGCUGUUUGCUUUGCGGGUGCAGCAUGUAGCGUAAGUGUCCGUGAUGGUGGGAAGAGAGACCCCAAUUAUCUCAGCUGACCUCACUGUCCGCUGCAGGGUCUUGCGAUCCGAGAUGGUGCAAUUUCUGAAUCAGGCACUGAUGCAGCUGCUCAGGAUGCUCUCGAUACAUCCUCUGUAGAAUGCGGUGAGGAUGGGGGGUGGGAGAUGGACUUUUCUCGGCCUUCGCAGAAAGUAGAGAUGCUGCUGGGCUUUUUUUGCUAUGGAGCUGAUGUUGAGGGACCAGGUGAGAUUCUCCGCCAGGUGAACACCAAGAAAUCUGGUGCUUUUAACAAUGUCAAUGGAGGAGCCGUCAAUGUUCAGCAGAGUGGUCACUCCGUGCUCUCCUGAAGUCAACAACCAUCUCUUUUGUUUUGUUCACAUUCAGAGACAGGUUGUUGGCUCUGCACCAGUCUGUUAGCCGCUGCACCUCUCUGUAUGCUGACUCGUUGUUCUUGCUGAUGUGACCCACUACAGUCAUGCCAUCGACGAACUUGAUGAUGUGGUUUGAUCUGUGUAAACACAGAUUGGUUCAGCAUGUCCCUGAGAACAUCAUUUACCAGGGCCUGGAAGACAGCAGGGACAUCAGCGAGACCGAAUGGCAUGACCAGAUACUCGUAAUAACUUGAGGUGGUGUUGAAAGCCGUCUUCCACUCAUCCCCUUCACAGAUGUGAACAAGAUGGUAGACAUUUUGGAGAUCAAGCUUGGUGAAAACUGAGGCUCCUUGCAGUAUUUCAAAUGCCGAGGUCAUGAGUGGACAAGGAUAAUGGUUCUCAAGUGACUUCGUUCAGUCCCCGGUAAUCAAUACAUGGACGUAAGGAGCCGUCCUUCUUUUCAACAAAGAAAAACUCAGCACCAGCAGGGGAGGAAGACGGCCGGAUGAUGCCUGCAGCCAGAGACUCCUGAAUGUACUUACUCACGGCUUCCGUUUCAGGUACUGUCAGGGACAGGGCGGCCCCUUGGGGGAGAUGUGUCAGGCAAGAGGUCAAUGGCACAAUCAUAUGGACAAUGAGGUGACGGGGAAGUGGCCUGGGACUUGCUAAACACAGCCUUGAGGUCCAUGUAUUCUGGAGGGAUGGCACUAAGGCCCGGAAAUUCCUUGGGGGGGUGGGGGUCUGAGUAUGGCGGAGGCAGUGGGAGUGACGGAAUGGGUUCCAGCCUACAAUCUUGCAACUGAGCCAGUCAAUGUGAGGGUUGUGUUUAACAAACCAGGGAUGGCCCAGGACUAGAUCUUCAACAGCCCGUGUACACCACAGUUCUUUCCCUUUCUCGUUGGAAUAUACCUAUGCAGAAUGCCACUGUGAUGAGAUCUGAAGGAUUAUUCUAAGUGGACUGUUCCUUUAAAAAGAGAGAGAGGGAGCGAACAGCGGGUGUACUAUUACAGGGAGAGAGAGAGAGAGCAACAAAAAGUCUGUGAGCUGCCUUGGAAACUGAAAGGUGGAACUGUAUGAUUGACAGCUAAUGUUCAGCACUUGUGAGAUAUAUACAAGGUCAGUUGGCUUUGUAAUCAGACGCACCAGACACAAGGAAGACACUGGUGGAGCUUUGUGUGCCCACGACAAAGGUGGAAUGCUAUUGGUGUGUUUAACCCUUGCCUGGGUUGAUAGUGGUACCACGUGAAAACGGCAUCUUCUUUUUGUGGUCACAGUUGGUGACUAAGUUCAGGAGCAGGAGGACAAUGUGGAAGAUCAACAGCAUCAGCACUGGGAAGACAAAACAUCUCCCUCUCUCUCCAACUCUACUCAAAUCAAAUUCCACAACUGAACUGACUACUUACCAUACCACCAUAAGACUGUAUCAUUUAUCACCUGAGCUGGGAGAAGCUUAGGAACUUUAUUUACUCACUUAUAUAUGCAUAUACUUUGCUAACCUGUUUACCUUAUCUUGGUUUAUAUUACUUUUAUCACAUAGUUUCUAAUAAAAUAGAGUUUAUAACAGCAGACUCAGACUCCAGGUGUGUCCAUUUCUGCUGGUUCUUUUUAACCCGUUACGGGGUACAUAACACCACUCAAAUAUCCCCUGAACAUUUGCCACAAUUCUGCUGUACAUUUCCCUGAGAAAAUCUGUUCCCAAUUUACGCUUCCAAGUUCCUGCCUGAUAGCUUCAUAUUUCCCCUUACUCCAAUUAAACACUUUACUAACUUGUCUGUUCCUAUUCCUCUCCAAUGCUAUGGUAAAGGAGAUAGAAUUGUGAUCACUAUGUCCAAGAAUGCUCUCCCACCUAACACUUGACACCUAACCAGGUUCAUUUCCCAAUACCAGAUCAAGUACAGCCACUCCUCUUGUAGGCUGAUCUACAAAUUGUGUCAAGAAAUCUCGGGAGAUGCCAAUCAAUAUUUGGAAAAUUAAAAUCUCCCACCACGACAAUCCUGUUUUUACUCCUUUCCAGAAUCUGUCUCCCUAUCUGCUCCUCGAUGUCCCUGUUACUAUUGGGUGAUCUAUAUAAAAAAAACCCUUCCUGACCCCUUCGUUUCUGACUUCUGCACACAGAGACUCCAUAGACAAUCCCUCCAUGAGUUCCUCCUUUUCUGCAGCCAUGACACUAUCUCUGAUCAGCAAUGCCACAACCCCACCUCUUUUGCCUCCCUCCCUGGCAUUUCUGAAACAUCUAAAGCCUGGCACUCUAAGUAUCCAUUCCUGUCCCUGAGCCAUCCAAGGCCACAACAUCAUAGCUCCAAAUAUUGAUCCACGCUUUUAAGCUCAUCCACUUUGUUCAUGAUCCUUCUUGCAUUAAAAUAAACACAUCUGAAAGAAAGGGGAGGGAAGACUUUCAUGUGCAUUGCUCACCAGUGUUACUGUAGCUGGUCACACACCAUGGGAAGGAUGUUGCCUGAACUGGAGACUUUAACAGACUGUCUGUUUACCCUUUAGUGAAGGAAGCUGAGGGGACAUGUGUCACAACUAUUUCAGAUUUUGAGAGGCACAAAGGAGCCAAUGGAAAAGACAGUGCACAAUCGUUUGACAGAAUGCCGACUUUCGGAGCUGGGCUGUCCACCCAGUUAGGACAGUGGGAAGGGAGGCGGCCUGCAAACUGAGCCCUCCAACUCACAGAUACCAGCAGCAGAGGCAGGCAUCUUGUUUUAGCAAGAGUCUCACCAGCUGAGGGUGUCCAUUACAUCCACUGUUCAUUAGUUUAAUCCAAAGCAGGCACUGGGGAGAUUACAGGAAGAUUAAAGACAUUAGCUUCAUUUGUUACAAGUACAUUGAAAUGCAUUGUUUGUGUCAAUGACCAACGCAGUCUGAAAAAUUGCUGCGGGCAGCCCACAAGUGUUAUCACUUUUCUGGCACCGACAGAGUAUGCCCACCACUCACCAACCCUGGCCCGUACGUCUCUGGGAUGUGGGAGGAAACCCACACAGUCAUGGGAAGAACAUACAAACUCCUGACAGGUAGAGGUGCAACUGAACCCCAAUAACUGCGUCUAUAACAGUGUCAUAUUAACCGCUACAAUGACCCUAGCUUCACAGUGUGGUCAGCAUUCUUCGAUAAAGAGGAGUAAUGUGUGGGGACCUUGAAGUAAUUCUUUCCUACUUGCAUUACUUUUUAAGUUAAAGGAAUAUCAGGGUACUCCGUCCCAUGUGCUGUGCAUCCUGGAGCAGCUGGGAACUGAUAGACCUGCUGGUGAUCUGAAUGGCCUCGUUGGUGAGGUCUGAUGUGCUGGGUGUUGGAACUGACUGAACUGUCAGAUGGAGUCCAUGUACAUGCACCUUGUGAAACGUGGAUCACAUGUUUUAUACGGUGAAGUUAGACAGAUGUUUAAGUAAGUAAUUUCACUGUAUGUUUUGGUGUACCUGUGACAUAAAGCUAACCUCUGGAAGUAUGUGGAUAAAUGGAUCAGUGUUGAUGCACAAGAGGAUCAGCACCGACAAAGUACAAAUCCAUCCAUCUACAAAUAGUUGUGUGACCAUCAGAGGAAGAGGGACCGGAAGGGAGCAUCUCACUCCGCAACUGUUGUUCCAUUUUGAACAGUGAAGUGAAGAGGGCAAAUGGAAUGUUGGCCUUUAUUACAAGGGUAAUUGAGUACAAGAGCAAGGAUGUCCUUUUGCAUUUGUACGGGGCCCUGGUGAGACCACACCUGGAAUAUUGUGUACAGUUUUGGUCUCCAGGUUUAAGGAAGGACAUUCUGGCAAUUGAGGAAGUGCAGCGUAGAUUCACUAGGUUGAUUCCUGGGAUGGCAGGGCUGUCUUAUGCAGAGAGAUUGGAGAGAUUGGGCUUGUACACGCUGGAAUUGAGGAGAUUGAGAGGGGAUCUGAUUGAAACGGUUAAGAUAAUUAAAGGAUUUGAUAGGAUUGAGGCAGGAAAUAUGUUCCAGAUGUUGGGAGAGUCCAGUACCAGAGGGCAUGGAUUGAGAAUAAGAGGUCGGUUAUUUAAAACAGAGUUGAGGAAAAACUUCUUCUCCCGAAGAGUUGUGGAGGUGUGGAAUGCACUGCCUCGGAAGACAGUGGAGGCCAAUUCUCUGGAUGCUUUCAAGAAGGAGCUAGAUAGAUAUCUGAUGGUUAGGGGAAUCAAGGGAUAUGGGGACAAGGCAGGGACUGGGUAUUGAUAGUGAAUGAUCAGCCAUGAUCUCAGAAUGGCGGUGCAGACUCGAGGGGCCGAAUGGUCUACUUCUGCACCUAUUCUCUAUUUUGAAAUAUGGUGGAGACGAAUGUUCCUCCAACAGUAGAUGUCCACAAGUGUAAGCAGCCGUUGAGUCCAGGAGACCAUGGGUUUGUGCCUCUGGUGGGCUGUGUCCUCUACAGGGCGGGAAGAUUUGAAGAACUGCCUGUUGCCCAUGCAGCGGGUCCCCCCUCUCCACGUCACUGAUGUAGUCGGCACCAGUGUCGUAGCAGAGGUUGCUACAGUGAAUUUGUAAACAGCACCAAACUGCCUUAGGGAUCCCGGCUCCGGAUUUCUUCCUCGGGGUCGGGGUUUUUAUCCCAAAAUCUUUCCCAUGGGUGGGUAUGGCCGCAAUGCAGCGGAGGUUUAAAAUCAGUUUUCCUUCUCGGCGGGCUGCUAACAACGUUGAUGAGCAGAGGCACUUGGGAUAUGGAUGUAUUCACAGGGAGGUGUCGCGGAACCUUUAUAAAACAUCGUUUUCAGUUGCAUCCAUCACUGUUAGAAUAUUAAGGCAUAUCAGAGGUUGUGGAAGAUGCUGGUGGGAUCCUUUAGUUGGGACUACUUUUCCUCACAGAAGGCUGACAGUGCUCUCUCCGAAAGAAGCAUGUAGACCCUGGUAGGCCGGCCAGUGGGAUGUGCUCUCUGUUUACAUAUGUAAAUUAAAGAGGAAAUGAAAUUUUAAAAGAGGAAACACUUCCAUGUUGUCUGAGGUUGGAAACUGCAAUGCCCUUCUGCAGAAGUCAGCGCCGUCCGGCCGCGGCCCCGGCCCUCUCCGAGCACACAGCUGACCGUUUUGUGCCGAGACAUCACCGGGAGAAGGCUCUGUGACAAUUUGGUGGAAUGGGCCAUCGGGAAUCUGCCUAUCCUACCUCCUGUCGGGAUACAGGCCCUACCUAUCCCCUCUUGCCAGCCAUCCAAACCCAAUACUGC